AACAGAGGAUUCUGCAGGUGAUCAGCGCGAUGCGGUCGGAAAUCAGAAAGCUGGAGCUGGAGAACAUGAGUCUGAGGAGGAGAGCUGGAGCUAAUCUCAGAAAGAAUGCAACAGUUCCCAUCAUGACAGCAGUAUGCAGAGAGAGCGUCGUCAUGACAGUGAGAAGAUAUUCGGUCUUCCAGUCGUUGGUCAAUCAUCGGAAUUUGCAGUUGGAAAAUUGUAAAACUGAGCGGUGGACUGGAAAACAG